rnacentral:rRNA from 1 species
UACGUAGGGGGGCUAGCGUUGUCCGGAUUUAUUGGGCGUAAAGAGCUCGUAGGCGGCUUGUCGCGUCGACUGUGAAAACCCGAGGCUCAACCUCGGGCCUGCAGUGGGUACGGGGCAGACUAGAGUGCGGUAGGGGAGAUUGGAAUUCCUGGUGUAGCGGUGGAAUGCGCAGAUAUCAGGAGGAACACCAAUGGCGAAGGCAGAUCUCUGGGCCGUAACUGACGCUGAGGAGCGAAAGCAUGGGGGAGCGAACAGG